ACACACACAUAUAUAUAUAUAUAUAUAUAUAUACAUACGAGAGAGAGAGAGAGAUUGAAAGGGAAGCAGGGAGAUAGAAAGGAGAGACAUAAAAUAAAUAAAUAAAAUAAAUAGAGAAAUAAAUAAAUAGAAGAGAAAGAAAAAGACCACUCCAGCACUGCUUCAAGACUUGUGGAGGUUUCUCUUGUGGAGACCAGGAACUUGAACCCAGGUCCUAGUGCAUGAGAAUGUGCGCAUUCUACUGGGUGUGCCCCAGGGAGGCUUUUUUUUUUUUUUUAGAAAGGGAAACUAUUGAUACUCCACACACACAUACACACACACAGUGGUUCUUAGAACUCCCUGCCACUAUUAGGUUGACCCAGAAGAAAUGUCUUCUCUGUAGAUAAAAAGCAGUUAAUGUUGGUCAUUUCAUGUGGUUCUACCCAAUGAAUGCAUUUUACUCCCAUCAGUCAGCAGAGAGGGAGCCACCCACCCCCUUUCUUCUGGAGCCCCAGAAAAUUUUAACGACUCUGUGCAUUCUGUAAUUUUAUUAUUUGCAGCCUAGGGUUUCUUACAUGUGUCAUACACUGCUGAGAAACCUCCCUGGGCUGACUUUUUUUUAUUCUCUAGAAGUAGGGAAGAGAGGUGUGAGAGGGAGAAAGUCACAGUACCUCUCUGUCGUCCAUAGUGCUUCCAUGGUGCCAUGGGUGGUACUCCCAUGUGGUGCUGGGGCUCACACCCAGGGCCUUGCCCACAGGGAGGCAAUACUUUCUAGCAAGUGAGCUCUCUCCCAGCCCUGCACUAUGAGAUUCCAGCCAUCCUAUUUAUUUUACUCUGUAUGGCUUUGGUAAAGUUAUUUCAACUGAAGGAAAUAAAGCACCCCAACCUGGGAGAAGACCCCAGCAAACCCCUACCUCAACCUGCUUUCAGGGUCUGGAAAUGUGGGACCAUUCAGAUAGCUUUUUCCUCUCCCCAUCCCCACUGUUGUCACCAGGACUUCACCACUCCAGGCUGAACUUUUCAGAUAGAAGAAACAGGAGAGAACAAAUACUGAAAAUAACUUCACGAUACUGAAGUUCCACCCCGUGCAGUGGGAGCUGGGCAGGAACCUGGGCCUCGUGCAGGACAAAGUGGGCACCCUCCCAGGUUGUCCUGUGAAUGUUCGUCCUGCAUGAUGGGACAGCCUUUUUCCAGCUUCUCUGAAAAUGGAGACAGAACAGCAGCAGCAGGUUAUGGGAGUGAGUACAGAACCCUUCCGCCUAAGACACAGCCAAGAUCCUCAGGAUUGAAGAGCUGAGGACGGGGAGACACAGCCACAGUCCUGAGGAGCUGCAGUUUCUGCUGGCACCAAGAUGGCCCCGGGAGGAGGCCCAGGCGCUGUCGGACUCUGCUCCCAGCCUUGUCGGUCAGACCUGGCAGGGCACCUGGAAAUACAUGCCCUCAUUUGUCCCAGAGAACUUAGCCUGCUGGCGGCCAUCUCCACCCUCCUCAUACCCCUGGCUCCCAGCAGACAGAAAUUUCUCCACUACCUGCAUUUCCCCCUGAGCACAGAGGGAAGCCCUCUCUGAGGUUGCCCAGGCUGGGGGCUCGAGCCUUCUAGGAGUUAAAGAUUCCCUGUCCCCAGCUGUCCUUCCCUUGGUGCUCUUCUUCCUCCCUCCUCCUGCUCACAGCAGGCAGGGCCUGGACCCAGGAGCCAGGCUGCUGUGCUGUUGCCAGGGGAGCCGGGAGGCAGACCCCAGCUAUGCAGGGAAAAGGCCCAGCCUGUCAAAGUGUCUGAGAUGCUCGCCGCUGUCCCCAUGCAGCUGGGCGCAGACGUGUCUCUGCUCUUGUUCUGUGCCUGAGAAUGGCGAAGCUCCAUGAGGUUCAAGGGCAAACUCACUAUUCAUUAGUCAGGGGUUCUUGAUGUCCCGGCUCUCCCAGGGAUGGGUGUCUCCCCUUUCCCCUUUCCCUCCUGUGACACAUUCCUGGGUGCCAUCCUCCUCCUGCCCCACUCCCUACAGAACCCCCCCCAAUAGGCUCCCCCCAAAGGGACCAGGUGGAACAGACAAUAGCCACAGGAAACCAUUCAGAAGGGAGCCCCAGUCACACUGGCAAUCCACCUGCAUGCCCUGUGGGCCCCUCUGUCCUCUGAGACUGGGCAGCCCUGGCCGCCAGGCUGCACAAGUCUGGAUGACAGGAAACCAGUCAGCACUGCUGGGGCUAGUCUACAGCCGUCCCCACAGGGCCCUGGCCGGGGCUCACCCAGUUGGCUUUCUUGUGCCUGCCAGUGACUGGAUUUUAACACUCGAAUACUGUUGGUUGGAAAGUAUAAAUUGUAUGCUGUUUUCUGAAAUGUGGCCAUACCAGAGUGGAAGGGCAGAGAUACGUGGUCACAUACAAAUAAAUCAUAGCACCAGGCAUGUAUGGUUAUGCUUGUAAAGGGAGUAUUGUACACAUAUUCAUGGUAGAUAUGUAAAAAGAAGUGUAUCCCAAGAAGUGUGAUGUAAAGAAAUGGAGACAAACCCAUUCAUUUUGGGGGAUAAUCUCACUUGGGCAACUUGGGAAAUAACUCAACUGACAGAGUAUCAGAGUUGCAUGCCUAAGGUUCCCAGUUCGAUUCCCAGUUCGAUCUCCAGUACCACAUAUACAGGACUGGUGUUCUGACCUCCCCCUCUCUCUGCUCAUAUCUAUACAUAUGAUGAACCAAAGGGAAGAAAAAAAUAAUUAACUUAGUGGAUUUCUGUGUAUGAGCAGGUGUGGAAGGCUGAUCAGUGCGUAUUGUUGAGAAAACUGAAUAAAUUGCAGAAAAUGUGGUA